UUGUAGUCCCCAAGCAAUUGAUGUGCUGAGGAAAACUAAUGUUCUUAUUACUCCAACAAAAGCUACUAGCACUGGAGGGGCGAAAGUUUUCAAUUAGGUUCAAAGGUUUUGUAGCUGAUGGCGGUAGAUUACUACCUUCGGGACAAGCAGGGAGAUAAGUCUUGUUGGAAUCCUGCGACGUGCUCAGGGCUGUGUUGUACUUGACAAAGAUGGGUUCACAACAA